rnacentral:rRNA from 1 species
UACGGGGGGGGCAAGCGUUGUUCGGAAUUACUGAGCGUAAAGGGCUCGUAGGUGGCCAACUAAGUCAGACGUGAAAUCCCUCGGCUUAACCGGGGAACUGCGUCUGAUACUGGAUGGCUUGAGUUUGGGAGAGGGAUGCGGAAUUCCAGGUGUAGCGGUGAAAUGCGUAGAUAUCUGGAGGAACACCGGUGGCGAAGGCGGCAUCCUGGACCAACACUGACACUGAGGAGCGAAAGCCAGGGGAGCAAACGGG